AGUGUGAGCGUUGUGAAGAAGAAGGAAACAGUUGCAAGGGGAACCUACUGACCUGCACUGCUGGGCAAAACUCUUGUGGCGUCGUUCUAACAGAAUUUACACACGGGGGAGAGAAGACCCAGACCAUUAUCAAGGGCUGUGCGACACCCAGCCAAUGUAACGCCAGGUUCGUCUCAACGAAUUUUGGGAAGAGCAUGAUGAAAAGGACGAGCAUCGCCUGCUGCCAGACGGACGCCUGCACACCGGAGCCUGUUAAAGUGCCCCCGGCUAACACCACCCUGAACGGCCUGCACUGCCCAGCCUGCUACACUUCGUCCUCUCAGCAGUGCCGUGAAGAGACCAUACAGUGUACAGGAGCCGAGACCCAAUGUAUGGACAUCACCGGGCCCCUAAAUUCUGGUGGAUCUGCCACGAAGACCGUCAUGAAGGGCUGUGGUACUCAGUAUGUCUGUGCCCAAAUAAAUGAGGGUUCAGGGGCCUUCGCAGGGAUCAAAGAAGAGGUAACCACGGCCAGAUGCUCACCAGCCUCCAGCGCGACCGGCACAGCUCUGGAACCAGUGAGGCUCCUCUUCCCAGCCCUCGCUGGGCUCCUCCUGCUGAAGUUUCUCUCCUGAUUCCCCACUCGGUGCAAUGGCCACGCCACACCCAUAACACCCCGGCCGCCUGCAUUAGCCCCUCUCGGCAGCCGCUCUCCCCUCUCAGGGGCUCUGGGCUCCCGCCU
rnacentral:lncRNA from 1 species